rnacentral:rRNA from 1 species
GGACUACCCGGGUAUCUAAUCCUGUUUGAUCCCCACGCUUUCGCGCCUCAGCGUCAAUGUCGGUCCAGUGAGCCGCCUUCGCCACCGGUGUUCUUCCCAAUCUCUACGAAUUUCACCUCUACACUGGGAAUUCCACUCACCUCUACCGAAUUCAAGUAAUGCAGUCUUGAAUGCAAUUCCAGGGUUGAGCCCUGGGCUUUCACAUCCAACUUGCAGAACCGCCUACGCGCCCUUUACGCCCAGUAAUUCCGAACAACGCUAGCUCCCUUCGUAUUACCGCGGCGGCUGGCAC